rnacentral:lncRNA from 1 species
CUUUUAUUGCUAGCUCAUUUGAUUUCUAAUCAUGCAUGCGGCUUCCAAUAGCAGAUACAUGUAUAUGCUAUUGCUUAGAGCUAAUUUUUGGUGCUGCUUUUUAUAAUUUAUUUUGCAUGCCCCGUGCCUUGUUUUAUUUGUUAUUGCAUAUGUUUUUAUAUUCGGUGAAAAGCUCAUUAGAGCAUAUGUUUGUACUGUGUGUCAAUAUGCUGAAUCCAAAUAAAGUUUUAC